UCCCGCCCAACAGUGUUCCGUCCCUUUAUCUCACUCCUAAAAACCCUAGAUCUUCUAAUUCUUCUUCCGUACUCUUCUCUUCUCCCUUCUUUGGCAAUUCAAGAAGACCAUGCGAUUCUUCUUUAGAUCUACGAUUCCUUUUCUUCAGCCGGGAUCUAUGAAGUAGUAAUUAGGGCUAUCUCUUCUUUAACUCCACUGUGAAUAUGAACUGACUUCAGCAGAUCAGCCAAUGUUCAUCCUUUGUUUGAUAUUGACGACAAUCUCUUCUUUAACUCCAUUGAAGAACAGUUAUCGGAUUGUAUGGUGAAGUGGUGCCAAAAACUGUUGAGAAUUUUCAUGCCCUAUGCACAGGGAAUUGGGAAAAAGUAAAAGUGGUAAACUACUACACUAUAAAGGAACACCAUUCCAUCGUAUCAUAUCCGGGUUUAUGAUUCAAGGUGGAUAAAUUGUCCACGGUGAUGGGCGCGGGAAUGAAUCCAUAUACGGUGGCACAUUUCGCGAUGAAAAUUUCAAAAUUAAGCAGUCACAUCCAGUUAUGGUGGCUAUGGUGAAUUCAGGACCAGAUUACAAUGGCUCAUAAUUCUUUAUGACCACUGUUAAGGCCUACUAGUAAGCAUGUUCAGGUGGCUGAGACUGUGGAGGAGGUCAAGAACAUGAGCUAUCUUUAGGGUCCUAAACCGGUCGAAGGAAUUUUCAAUUACAUAGGACAAGCGGUGCAUCAUGUUGGCUUACAGCUGCAGCUUUGUAAGCGAAAAUAUAGAGACAACUGAAGAAAUAGAUAUGGAAUAUAUAGAGCUGGCUCUUGAAGAAAUAGACAACUGAAGAAAUAGGUUCAUUGUAAAGAAAUUAUGUUAUGCAGUACAUUCUCGAACUGCGGAUUCCUUCGGCCGUGUCCACGCUGACCUCUCAAUUUAAGGGUAACAUGUGCAUCUAACAAUUCAAAAAAUCAGCAACCAUGUGGUAGAGAAAUAUUUAGCUGUAUUAGACGGCUAAUCAGGUAAACCAUCAUCCAUGAACUGAUCUCGGCUACUCAUUUCAAACAGUUGCUUCAAGUUCCAAACGACAACUAUGUUGUUCAAAUCGUUCUUCGUGUUGCUAAGAUGGAAGAAGAAAAAUUGUGCUUUGUUGCAGAUCGCUUAGUGAAAUCGGGGCAGAUUGUUAUCUGGAGUUGGAAGAGGAAGAAACAAAUCACGGCUGAACUUACUGAAUGGAACAAUUAAUGAGGCUGAUGGAUUCGUUUAGUAUAUCGGAUAAAAAGGACACCUGGGAAUGGCAAGGUAAUGAAACAGAUGGGUUCUCGGUUAAAGGGAUAAAAAGGAUUUUGCAAGAAUUGAGGGAUGUUAGUUCGCUCUAUGCUAUGCAUUGGUUUCGUCGAGUUUCAAUUAGAUGUAACCUUUUCACGUGGAGGAAAGAAAUGGAUAGGAUCCUUACGGCUGAUGCCUUAAUCAAACGAAAUAUUCAAGUUAUUUUGGAUGGUUGCGCAUUUUGUGAUAGCCUAGUAGAGGCCUCAGGAAUUAUCUUGCGCAUUUUGUGAUAGCCUAGUAGAGGCCUCGGAAAUUAUCUUUUCGGGAUGUGUUGUUUCUACAGCGAUAUGGCUUUGGGUUCGCCACUGGUGUAAGAUCCCUUAUAUAUAUGGCUUCAAUUUUUGAGACCUGUCGGAGUUUCAAGACCACACAGGAGCAAGUGUUAGAAAAAGGAGGUGGUUCAUACUUGGCUGCCUUGCAUGUUGGCUUGGUAGUUUUGUGAACGAAGUUGAACUUUUGGUAAAAAAAAAAUUGUAAACUGUGAACUGAUUCCACAUUGCCUUUUGUUUCAUUCAUAAAAGGGUCGCCAAUCUAUUUGUUUAUAUCUUACAUUUAAAUGAAAUUUACUAAACAAUUAAAUGUC